rnacentral:rRNA from 1 species
UACGGAGGGUGCGAGCGUUGUCCGGAAUCAUUGGGCGUAAAGGGUGCGUAGGCGGCGCGGUAAGUCGGGUGUGAAAUCUCGGAGCUUAACUCCGAAAUUGCAUUCGAUACUGGCGUGCUUGAGGACUGGAGAGGAGACUGGAAUUCAUGGUGUAGCAGUGAAAUGCGUAGAGAUCAUGAGGAAGACCAGUGGCGAAGGCGGGUCUCUGGACAGUUCCUGACACUGAGGCACGAAGGCCAGGGGAGCAAACGGG